rnacentral:tRNA from 1 species
UGGGCUGUGGCUCAGCAGUAGAGCACUUGCCUAGCAUGUGCGAGGCCCUGGGUUCAAUCCUCAGCACCACAU